rnacentral:rRNA from 1 species
UGGGGAAUAUUGGACAAUGGGCGAAAGCCUGAUCCAGCCAUGCCGCGUGUGUGAAGAAGGUCUUCGGAUUGUAAAGCACUUUAAGUUGGGAGGAAGGGCAUUAACCUAAUACGUUAGUGUUUUGACGUUACCGACAGAAUAAGCACCGGCUAACUCUGUGCCAGCAGCCGCGGUAAUACAGAGGGUGCAAGCGUUAAUCGGAAUUACUGGGCGUAAAGCGCGCGUAGGUGGUUUGUUAAGUUGGAUGUGAAAUCCCCGGGCUCAACCUGGGAACUGCUUUCAAAACUGACUGACUAGUGUAUGGUAGAGGGUGGUGGAAUUUCCUGUGUAGCGGUGAAAUGCGUAGAUAUAGGAAGGAACACCAGUGGCGAAGGCGACCACCUGGACUAAUACUGACACUAAGGUGCGAAAGCGUGGGGAGCAAACA